AUUGAACGCUGGCGGCAGGCCUAACACAUGCAAGUCGAACGGAGUGGCGGACGGGUGAGUAAUGUAUGGGAAACUGCCCGAUGGCGGGGGAUAACUACUGGAAACGGGCGCUAAUACCGCAUACUAUCAGAUGAGCCGAUGUCGGAUUAGCUAGUUGGUGGGGUAAAGGCCUACCAAGGCGACGAUCCGUAACUGGUCUGAGAGGAUGAUCAGUCACACUGGAACUGAGACACGGUCCAGACUCCUACGGGAGGCAGCAGUGGGGAAUUUUGGACAAUGGGCGAAAGCCUGAUCCAGCCAUGCCGCGUGUGUGAUGAAGGUCUUCGGAUUGUAAAGCACUUUAAGUUGGGAAGCGUUACCUGCAGAAUAAGCACCGGCUAACUUCGUGCCAGCAGCCGCGGUAAUAC
rnacentral:rRNA from 1 species